CUUACCCUACGGGACGCAGCAGUAGGGAAUCUUCCACAAUGGACGAAAGUCUGAUGGAGCAACGCCGCGUGAGUGAAGAAGGGUUUCGGCUCGUAAAGCUCUGUUGGUAGGGAAGAAAGAUUGAGGGAGGAACUGGCCUUUAUUUGACGGUAAUUACUUAGAAAGCCACGGCUAACUACGUGCCAGCAGCCGCGGUAAUACGUAGGUGGCAAGCGUUGUUCGGAUUUAUUGGGCGUAAA
rnacentral:rRNA from 1 species